rnacentral:rRNA from 1 species
AGAACGAACGCUGGCGGCAUGCCUAACACAUGCAAGUCGAACGAGAAAGUGGAGCAAUCCAUGAGUAAAGUGGCGACCGGGUGAGUAACACGUGACUACCUACCCUUGAGUGGGGGAUAACCUCGGGAAACCGAGGCUAAUACCGCAUAAUAUCGAAAGAUCAAAGGAGUAAUCCGCUUUUGGAGGGGUCGCGGCUGAUUAGCUAGUUGGUAGGGUAAUGGCCUACCAAGGCGAAGAUCGGUA